rnacentral:rRNA from 1 species
AAUCUUCCACAAUGGGCGAAAGCCUGCUGGAGCAACGCCGCGUGAGUGAAGAAGGAUUUCGGUUCGUAAAACCCUGUUGUAAGGGAAGCACAAGUACAGCAGUCACUAGCUGUACCUUGACGGUACCUUAUUAGAAAGCGACGGCUAACUACGUGCUAGCAGCCGCGGUAAUACGUAAGUGGCAAGCGUUGUCCGGAAUUAUUGGGCGUAAAGCGCGCGCAGGUGGUUUCUUAAGUGUGGUUUGAAAGGCCGACGGUCAACCGGGGGAGGUCAUGUGAAAGUGGGGGCCUUGAAUGCGAGAAGGGGAGGUGGAAGUACAAGUGUAGCGGUGAAAUGCGUAGAGAUUUGGAGGAACACCAGUGGCGAAGGCGACUUUCUGGUCUGUAACUGACGCUGAGGCGCGAAAGCGUGGGGAGCAAACAGG